GAUGAACGCUAGCUACAGGCUUAACACAUGCAAGUCGAGGGAACGGCGCACGGGUGAGUAACAAGUAUCCAAACUGCCCUUUACUCGGGGAUAGCCUUUCGAAAGAAAGAUUAAUACCCGAUAGAAAGGAUGGGGAUGCGUUCCAUUAGGUUGUUGGUGAGGUAACGGCUCACCAAGCCUUCGAUGGAUAGGGGUUCUGAGGGGAAGGUCCCCCGCAUUGGAACUGCGACCCGGGCCAAACGCGUACGCGAGGCAGCAGUAAGUAAUAUUGUGCAAUGGGCGCUAGCCUGAACCAGCCAAGUAGCGUGAAGGAUGAAGGCUUAUGAGUCGUAUACUUCUUUUAUAUAAGAAUAUGUAUUAUAUGAAUAAGGAUCGGCUAACUCCGUGCCAGCAGCCGCGGUAAUAC
rnacentral:rRNA from 1 species